rnacentral:lncRNA from 1 species
CAUUUCCCCCAUUACUCCCUUCCAUACCCCCCCCUCCCUCUCAGUCCCCUUCCCGCAUUUUACCGCGAUUUUCCCCUUUUUCUCCCCCUUUUACCCAUUUCCCCCCUUAUUUAUCCCCCACCCCGCCCAUCCCCUCUCAUCCCUUCUUCCAUUUUCCCCUAUUUCUCCCCAUUUUGCCUGAUUUUACCCUUUUUCUCCCCAUUUUUUCCCUAUUUCCCCCAUUAUCCCCCCCACUCCCCCCCACCCCCUUGUUGUCGUUCCCUAUUUCUCCCCAUUAUCCCCCCCGUCCCCCCCAUCCCCCUCUCAUCCCCUUCCCAUUUUGCCCAUUUUUUCCCCUUUUUCUCCCCAAUUUUUCUCCAUCCCGCCCAUCCCCCCAUCCCUUCUCCAUUUUCCCCUAUUUCUCCCCAUUUUACCCAAUUUCCCCCAAUUUUCUCCCCAUUUUCUCCCAAUUUCCCCCUACUUUCGUCCCCAUUCCCCCCACUCCAUCCCUUCCCCUGCCCAUUCCGUUUGUCCCUCAUUUUGCCCGAUUAUCCCCAUUUUUCUCCCCAUUUGUCUCCCCAAUUUCCCCCCAUUUCCCCAUUCCCCCCUCUCGCCCCCCCUCCCCUCUCCCCGUUCCCCAUUUUACGCCGAUUCCCGUUUUUUUCUCCCAAUUUUUCCCCGUUAUUUCCCCCAUUGAUCCCCCCUCAUCACAUCCCUCUCCCCCCCCCUCAUCCGUGGUUCCCCAUUUUACCCGAUUUCCCCCCAUUUUCUCCCCAUUUUCUCCCCAAUUUUCCCCAUUAGUCUCCCCCAUCCCCCCCCUGCCCCUCUCCCCAUUCCCCUUUACCCGAUUUCCCCGUUUUCUCGCCCAAUUUCCCCGUUAUUCCCCAUUAUUUCCCCCCAUUCCGUCCCUCCCCCCCCCUCAUUGCCGCCCCGCUAGUUGGGGGGGGUCCGUCAUCUGUCCCCUCCCCCCCCUGUUGGUUCCUCUGCGGUCGCGGACGCGGUUUUCGCCCCCCGCAGCGGGCGGGGGGGGCAGCGGCUGCAGCGGUGAGAUGUGGGGGAGGGGGGGGGAUGAUAAAGGGGGGGGGAUAAAGGGGGGGGUUAGGGAGGGGGGGGGCAUCGGUGUGUGUGCCGCUUUGUGCCACCCGCGCCUCAUUGGCGUAACCCCAUUGGUAACCCCCCCCC